rnacentral:piRNA from 1 species
UACGUAUAACACUGAUGUACUUGCGCC